GCCUUUCAUGAAUGCACUUCUAGUUUAGACAUUGCAGUCAGGCAGUCUUGUAGACUGCUCAGGGGUCCUGUUACAGGGCCGAUCAGGUAGUGACACAGCGUAACGUAAUGUUCGAAUAUCCAUUGAGCGGAGCAGCUUUGUUGCUUACCAAAGUCGUACUUACAUAUUUUGACAGAUUUUUGAGAGCAUUGUACCACAUAAAAUCGGUCAAUAUGCACAACAAGUAAUCAUCAUCAUAAGGUGCGUUGGAUUAUAAGGCGCACUGUCAAUUUUUGAGAAAAUUUAAGGAUUUUAAGUGUGCCUUAUAGUCUGAAAAAUACGGUAGACAUGUGACAGUGGUACUUUAUUGUUGACACUUUAUCAGUAAAUGUGAGUUGUUUUUCUCCUUCAUUCCCUACAACUUGUAGAAAUGAAGGGAAACAAAAAAAGAUAUGUUUCUAUUCAUUAUGUUUCAAAGACAACCAACAUCCUUACCAGGCACACAUGUCGUUGCAGGUGAUUGGCGUGAGGCUGACAACACUACUGUUUAACUUAGUGUGGAUUUAGCAUCUCCACUUCAUAGUAUGUUACAUACAGUUGCAUCAGAUGUCAGCCUCGGUAAUCUUGACCAAGUAUGUGUCAUGUAGAGUUGAAACUGACAAACAACGAGUGAAGGGAAGAAAAUCAGUAGGCUGACAGUUCUCAUGGUAGUUUUCUUAGAUCUGUUUGAGUUUGUACUUGUGUCAAAAGCAGACACAUCUUUUUAUAUUAGACAUGAUAAAUGAAAACACUAUAACUCCACACACCAAUAACUUCCUAAAACAUCUGAAGACAGACAGAUUUAUGAUACAGCCUGUAAAGGGUUGUGAUUAGAACAUCAUGUCAAUGUUCUUGGAGGAAUUAAUGUGAAAGAAAAGAAAGAAAAAGGAGGGAAAAAAACAUGCAACUUUUAUUCUUGUGAUACACAAAACCGUGGCUUUUACAGCCGUGCUUGCCAGCUAUAAACAAACUCUGUUUAAAUAUAACACAAAACCCCAGAGGACAACUUGGAUUCUCCCUAACAAGUUUGUCAAAAAAGCUGCCGGUACACAAUCUCAAGGAGCUUAUUUAACACAAAAUGUUAGCGAAGCAUUAUAAUUUGAAUUUCCUCCUGAAUCUUCAUGGAAAUUGUGUUUCAGAUGUUUUAGAAAUGGGUUGGGUGUCAGUAAGGGGUGCAUGAUGCUUCAGUCACUUAAUUUUCUUGACGCCUCGAAUGCAAAUGAGAGUAUUUGAUCCAGUGGCUGUUGUUCAGUAGACAUUGUAGAGGCAAUGAGAUUGGCUACUGAGGUUGAUAAUUAAAAAGAGGGGGGCUCCAUCCUCUUUUUCCCACAUUUGUGGGAACACAGAAUAAAUUUUCUCUCAGCCAGAAAUUAUCUGAGCUGGCAGACGGACAGAUGAGUAAUGUCUGAUGUGAAAGGGUAAAAUAACCAUGCACUGGUUCAGUGCAUGUCAGAACAAGAUGGUAGCACUCAGCCAGCCUCCAUUACAGGGUUUUACUAAUCCAAACAUGCAAAGCUGUGUCUAAAAAUGACUUUUUGUGCAUAAUCCAACACAAUUUUUAUGGAAUUAGGAUAGGGCAAGGGGACAAGAACUGGUUGCCAAUGCAGUGUAUAUCAGCACUGUAUUUAAACGCAAUGUGGCAAAUAAGGACAGAUAUUUUAUCUUUGAAGUGUGGGCACUGAUUAUAUAUCCAUCCAUCCAUCCAUCCAUCCAUCCAUCCAUCCAUAUUGAUAUACAUAAACACACACACACACACACACACACACACACACACACACACACAUGCAUUCACACAUACGGUGGUGAGAAAAAGUGUUUGCCCCCUUCCUGAUUUCUUAUUUUUUUUUGUAUGUUUGUCACACUUUUCAGAUCAUCAAAUAAAUUUAAAUAUUAGUCAAAGACAACACAAGUGAACACAAAAUGCAGUUUUUAAAUGGUUUCUAUUAUUAAGGGAUAAAAGAAAUCCAAACCUACACAGCCCUGUGUGAAAAAGUGAUUGCUCCCCUUGUUAAAACAUAACUUAACUGUGGUUUAUCACACCUGAGUUCAAUUUCUCUUGCCACACCCAGGCCUGAUUACUGCCACACCUGUUCUUAAUCAAGAAAUCACUUAAGGAGGACCUGCCUGACAAAAUGAAGUAGACCAAAAGACCCUUAAAAGCCAUACAUGCUAAGAUCUAAAGAAAUUUAGGAACGAGUGAGAAAGAAAGUAAUUGCAAUCUAUCAGUCUGAGAAUUUUUUUUUAUAAAAUAUGACUUUGCCCCAGAAAACUUGGAACAGCAAACACAAGUAGCACAACGUGCUCCUGAGUCUCUUUUUAGGGCAAAAUCCACCCAUGCAUACCCUCCCACUCAUCUCCAGAAGUUGACAGAUAUAUGCAAAUUAUCUCCCAACUGCACCUCACACUGACUCAUGACAUUUAGUGUGAAUGCAAACAGUGAUGUGAGGUUGAUACUCUGCUGAGAAAACUUAGGACAUGAUGGAGUGAUGGAUGGUAAUCUAAGGUGCACUAUAACAAUUUGAGCCACGCCUCAAAUAAACUGCUCCACUUGCCUGAACAUCCCCAUAAAUGCUGCCUGUUGUUCCCACAGCUGCUCAAGAGACUAGAUAAACAUUUACUUAUGAAAAAUGAAAGCAUGCAGCCACACAGCGUGUCGACAUCAUUUCUGAAUUUGAUUUAUGAGUUUACAUCAGCAGCUGGGAAGGUGAUUUUACAAACAUGUGCAGGUGCUUUGAUGAAAACUGUAAGUCUCCACAUCAUGCUUCAGUUGUUGUUUGAGGAUACUGCACGAUGAUUUCAUUAAUUUUUUUCAAACAUUUGUGUGCAACACAAGAAAGUAAACUGAAAACAAACAAACAAAACCAGCGGGAAUAUUCAAAACAACAAUAACAAUAAUCAAAGCAAAAAAAAUAAUAAAUAACAAUAAUAAAAAUGCGAACCCAACAUGUCCGAAAAGGUGUAGGAUGAAGCAUUAUGUUUUUUUUAAACCUACCUCUUCUCCUCUACUCAAUAAACAGUCAGUCUCCAGCAUAUUUACAUUAUAUUAACAAAAAAUAGAACAUAAAUAAGCACAUUUAUCAUUUAUGAAUCUGGGCGAUGGUUAAAGCCCUUCUUCCUCCCUGUACCUGGUGAGAACCAUGUUUUUGUACCGCUUUUUAAACUGGGUCAUGCUUGGACAUUGCAUCUGACAUUGCUCGGAUGAUAAACCCCAGCUCUGUUAGUGAUGGUGUCAAAGACAAUAUAAAUGUUUGUCCAACUGCAAAUAUCAGACAAAUAUAACUGUUAAAUGGGAAAAAAAUAUUAUUCAGGCAUCUUUCUCUCCCAACAGAGUGGGAACAUGUCACUUUUAUAAUUGUUUUGAACCAAACAUCCAGUGUCAAUGUACAGUAAACCGGAACAUCCAGACUGACAUAAAACUACACCAGCCUUCAUCAUCUUGCUAUAGGGCUAUAAAAUAAGUGAGAAAAACUGCUUAUGUGCAUGCAUCAUUACUGAGUAUAAUUUCACUUGAAAAGACACUGGUUUAUGUAAAGAAACAGCGAAUUAAUUAUAUAUGUAAAUUGAUGCAUAGUGGGUCCAAGAUGUGAUUAGUUCUGUCUUUGUUCUAUAAGUCUACAGGAGUGUAUGAUUACUGAGAAGUGAUAGAAGAGCAAUUCUAUUUAAUUUUGCAUGUAAAGAGUUUAAAAUUAAGAAAAGAAAAACUUGACCGUUGCAAGGCUGUUUUGUAGUUGUCGGUUUGGAUUUGAAGCAUUAAGACACUCAGAACCAGCAAAAUAAAAGUCUCUUCAUUGAGUUAUAAUAUUUUAUUCAUUAAGAGCAAAACAGUCUAGAACAAGUCAAAUGCUUUAACAUAAAACUUUGGAAUGAAAUAUCUUGUCUAACAAAAAUAUGCAUAAUGCUGAGACUGACAGUUCUGUUCAUUUGGAUUUGGGUCAUGCUCAGACAGUAUAAUGAUCAAAGUGGAAUGGUUGUCAUGCACUCAAAUUCAAGUUUAUAAACUUUGAGAGUUUCAAAUGAGAUGGUUAAAUUGACCACAAACUUUAGAGUAACUACAGAUAAUGACUUUUUAUGAAUUCUUGUCAAAUUCAAACUGUCAUAUGUAACAGUGAAAACACUAAAGUCACCGAAAAAACUUUGAAUUAAUUGAGAAUUAGACUUGUCAUCUUACUUAUGUGGGAGUCCAUUGUCUGAAAUAACAUCAAAAUUAAACAUUUGUAAAUUAAUGAACAAUAAAACCACAUAGAAUUUAUUUAUGUCUCUUUUCCAUUCCUACAGCCACCUCACACACUCGCAUUCAAGAAUUAAACUCAACAGACUUUGUUUCAACGUGUCAACACUUCUCCACACUGCUUAGCAAAACAGUGCAGCUGCGAUACAUCAGCGGGUUAACCAUGAAUAUGGAAAAAAAUCUGUUUUUCUCCGAAAGACGUCAUUCAUUUGAUGAUAACUAGACACUACACAAUGUUCAGAAUAUACGUUAUUGUUUCAUGGAACAUUUACCCUCUUUUUACACUGACCAAAAUGUUUAUACCAAAGCUAAAGACAGAUAAUGGUGCACAUUAUGAAGAGCAGUUAGAAAAUCACAACACUUACAACCCCCUUAAUUAUGAUCAACUUACUUAAAGCCUUUAAAGACAAGACUGAAAAUUGGGUUCAAGAGAAAAGAGAAAGUCUUAUAAUACCUGUGAAUUGACAGAGGGCAUAAAAUUUAAUUAGGGUCAAACACACAGUAACACCGAGUUAGACACCCCCUCCAGAGAUGAAUGUUGCCAACUGCUUGCUUCUCUCAUUAUACCAACUUUAGUAACGACCGCAUGGUAGCAAUACACAGUGAUCUAAGGAACCAUAAAUGAACCUCAACCAAAACGCCACUUUAUAGCCACAAAUAAUACUCAGAACAGCACCUAACUUCAUCAACAGUACAUAUAGGGUCCCAGCCAUAGUACUAGCCACCAAACAUCUUGAUGGCUUUGCCUGAUUUCUCAAGCAAAGAGACUAAACACAACUCACCCACUCUCUUCCAGCGGCCGCUUGUUUGUAGCGAGAGCUCAGGCCAGUUCAUUACAGACUUCAGUGCAGUGACGCAGCUGGAGGAAGAACAUUUAUGAUAAUUUCUUCAUGGAAAUGCAAUCAGACAUAGACGCUGAGGCAGAUGAACUACCGCGUCUGCAGUGCAAAAUAAUUAAUAUGGUGAUUAUUACUUCAAGGAAAUGAUAAAGUAAUGAUCAUAAAUGUUCUUCCUUGAGCUGCGUCACCCCGCUGUAGUCCGUAAUGGACUGGCCUGAGGUCUCACUACAAACAAACAGCUGCUGGAAGAGAGUGGGUGAGUUGUGUUUAGUCUCUUUGCUAAAGAAAUUAGGCAAAGUUAAAAAGAUGUUUGGUGGCUAGUGCUAUGGCUAGGACCCUGUAUGUACUGUUGAUGAAGUUAGGUGCUGUUCUGAGCAUUAUUUGUGGCUAUAGAGUGGCGUUUUGGUUGAUUUUUGUUUAUGGCUCCUCAGACCGCUGUAUAUUGCUUCAUCUCUUGAGGCGCUGUCUAACUCUGUGUUAAAGUGUGUUUGACCCUAAAUUAAUUUUAUGCCACUAUCCUUUUAAUUCUCUAAAUGUAGCAUUAGCAGAGCCUGUAAAUACAGGCUUCUAGCAGGUUGACAGUGGAGCCAAAACACCCUUCACUGGUAUGGAAAUGUACUACCAUGUAAAAUAAAAAGUAUUAGAAGCUGAGAAUGGUUUAUUCAAAAAACUGUGGUGUUUUCAGCCUGUUAAGGUAGAGUUCACAGAUUGUUGUGCUCUGGAGCAGCUUUCUUCUCGUUACCUGGAUUACAUGACAGGUUUAAACACUGAAAUAUUAUCCAUGCUAUCUAGCCUAGAAAUUUAGCACAAAAACAAAAAUUUACAUUUUUGCUUCCGUGGCAACAACAGAGUUGAGCUGCACCGAAACUCUUUCUGUGCAGUGAUGUGAUGUGUAAAGUCUGCUUGUUCCUGGCACAGCUCUCACUAUUCAGAACUAAUUACAUAAUCAUUGUUUGGGGUUUUUGACCAAUCAGAGUCAAGCAUGUCACAAAGCCUGAUGAUAAGAAACAAAGCUGGGUACUAAACCUCCUAUAUACACCAAAAAGGAUGUGAGUUGACACACUGGCCUUUCAUUGUGUGCAUUGCUCUCUGUGUGACUCAGCGGGAUCAAUGGAAACGACCCUUUACUACCGAUUAUGCUGUAAGAAUAUAAGGAAGAUGUGUGAGCGCACGGAUUGUAGGGAGAGCAAAUGCCACUGUGGUAUGAACAGACCCGAUGCAAUAUGUUGUGCAGCACACCUUGCAGAGAGCACAGCAGACAACAGUUCAUUAUUGCACGAUUACCAUAUGCUUGCGAGACUGUGGGUUCAAACCUGGUUCAGAUCCAGCUGGUGAUUCAUGUCCCAUCUCAUCCUAUCUCCCCUCAAUCCACCGUGCUCUGAGUACAGUACACAACAGAAUAAACAGAGCCUCCUGCCAUUAAAGAGAAGCUGAUGGCCUGUGGAGCUUCCAAAUUGUUUAGGAUGAAUGAUGAUGAAGAAAAUGUUUCCUCUUCACUGGUCAUUUUCUGGAGCAGAUUCAAAGCCGGCAAUGGACUCCUGCCAGGUUGUAGCAGGUGAUGUCAAAUCGAGUAACUCCUUUCUGCUUGAAAAGUAAAACAGGAGGCCAUCUGUGCUUGUGCAGCUCUAAAAGGAACAUAAAUACAGUCUUACAAAUCUCACUUUAUGUACUGAAAAUGUAUGUGUGCAUUUUAAUGUGUGUGUGAGUGAGUGCAUUACAUGUAUUUGCAAACUGGCAGUGAUUUGCAGAUAAAAGUCGACCCAGAUGUGCAGCCUCUAAAAGAUUAACAGCGUGUCAGUGUCAUAUGAUUCAAAUUUCCCUGCAUUAUGAAUGUAAGGAUGAGUUUAAAAAUACACAAGACUGUGAAUUAUUUAGCCACACACACACACACACACAGACAUACACUGGGAGGCUUCCUAACUGGAUGCUGCAGUGAAUAAAGUGGUAAAUUACCCAGGAGACAGUGGGAGUUGGACAUUGUAUGUUGGCAAAAAGCAUUUAUGAUGCAUUCAAGUGCAGCAAAACGUUCACUACAAGUUAGCAAAAAAAAGUUUAUUAGGAAAGGAGGAAUAAUUAGGAGAGAGAAUAUACCACCCAUGGUGUGUGUGAAUAAAGCAGUUAUUCGCUUUCUGCAGCUAAACUCACUCUGGUGUAUUCUGUAAAUAUCAUGACCUAAAAAACAGCAAAAGCCUUUUUAAUAUGUUGAUGGAGAUAAUUCUCAGGGAUAUUUCUCAUUAUGGUGUAAAACUAGAGUUAUGCAUGCAUUACAUUAUUCUCUUAAUUUUUAUUUGUCAGAGUCCACCUCCUGUCAACCUGAGCUGACAAAUACAUUUUAUGGUAAAACAUCAUAUUCUCUGCUCAUAUGAAUCAUACAUAUGCAUGACUCAAAAAAUCUAAAUCUUGACUCAUUAUAGGAUGCUGCUGCAAAUUUACAGUGGCGAAUUGUGCUCUAUGGGGAGUGUGUCAUACUGGGUGAUAAGGUAGCUCCUGCUUGGCCACACAGACCCACGCAUGUACACUGCCACCCAGUGGACAUGAGUAGAACUAUAAGCCCUGGAUGAGUCAUUCUAGGCAGCCUGAUGCCUUCCUUGGCCCCUUGCUGCAGAGGGACCCAGGCUGGGUAAUAAAUUAGUCUCUUUUAACAUUCACAACUGAUGGAAGGCAUUCUCAAGGUCUGUGAGGAUGUGGGUUGAAAGGACUGAGUCGACGGUGUGCAGAGGAGGGAGGAGGGGGAAUCCGAGAUUUGGGGGUUCUGAAGCAAGAGGAAGACUAUAAGAAAACUGGGACAGAUAGUGAGCAAUUAAUGGGGCAAAACUUGCAUUAGUUGUCAAUGGGUUGGAGAAAAGAGAUGUACGUGGGUCAUCAUUUUGAACUUGGAAAAAUCCACCAAACCACAAUUCUACAGUGUUAUUCCUACACCCAAAGAAAAAAAAUCUCACCAACAGAAGUUUAUUUUCAGUGGCUUACAUGAUUACUGGUUUUAGAGGGUUUAUAAUUAGACAGAAGCCAGAGCACUUUUAUAUAAAACUUGGCACUGAACAUUUUCCCCAAGGACAAGCAAGCUGUAUAAAGGCUGUAAAACUUUCAACAUUUUUUAUUUCCUCUAUAACCUUGAUGGGUAACAUAUGUUUAAAAGGGGUCAUUGAUAGCAGGGUGCUUUAUAUUUUAUGGACUUUAAACUUCAAUUUCAGCUAUGCUAAGAGCACACAACUCUUCAGUAUUCUGCUCAACAUUUUGUUCACUUUGGAGUGGCAACAUUGAUUUACACCAAACUGCUUGAGUGCCCUCCGGCAUGGCAGAAUAGCUGUCUACCAAGGUGUCUGGUUUUGCCUUGGUUUCUUCCUAAAUGGGAUCUUUUUCUUGCCACUGGUGCCAGUUGCUUGGUCAUGCUGGAUUGAAAUUUAGUUUUUGUAUUAAAGCUAAACCUGCUUUUUCAUGACAUUUUAUGAGAUAAAUUUGCUGUGACUUGGUGCAUCCAAACUGGUAGUUAAUUAGUGUAGUGUAAAUUGUUUGUGAUUAAUCAAAUUGUAUAGAAUCAUAUUGUACUGUCCCAUAUCAUGAAUUACCCUCAAAAUCAGGUGGUAAAAACAGGUAGUGAAUAGUUUCAUUUCAAAUUGGAAGAUGAAAAAGUAUCAUAUUGUAUUGUAUUGCUUGGUAUUAUGAGCAUCUCUCAGGAUUCAGUGAUUAAAGGGAUAUUCCAAUGUAUAAUUAAUUUAGACACCCUCUUGAGAGAUGAAUGUUGCCGACCGCUUGCUUCUCUAGUUAUACCAGAUUUAGUAACGACCGCACGAUAGCAAUACACAGCAGUCUCAGGAGCCAUAAACAAACCUCAACCAAAACGCCACUCUAUAGUGACAAAUAAUGCUCAGAACAGCACCUAACCUCAUCAACAGGACAUUCAGGAUCCAAGCCACAGCACUAGCCACCAAACAUCUUUUUAGCUUUGCCUGAUUUCUUUAGCAAAGAGACUAAACACAACUCACCUACUCUCUUCCAGCAGCCACAGUCGGGCCAGUCCAUUACGGACUACAGCGGGGUGACGCAGCUCAAGGAAGAACAUUUAUGAUCUUUUCCUUUUCAUUUCCUUGAAGUAAUAAUCACCAUUUGAAUCAUUUUGCACUGCAGACGUUUUGGUAGUUUUUCUGUCUUAGCGUCUCGGUCUGAUUGCAUUUCCAUGAAGAAAUUAUCAUAAAUGUUCUUCCUUGAGCUGUGUCAAUUUCCUUAUUCCAAAUGUAAAAUAGCAGCAAUUUAUAUUUUGUCAUAUUGUAUCAUACCAUAUGGAAUCAGAUUGUAUUAUAUCAUAUCAUAUCAUAUCAAAUCGUGCUAUAUAGUGUCAUAUUUUGCUGUAUUAGAUCAUAUAGGAACGUAUUUUGUGUUAUUACUUACUAUACUAUCAUCAGUUACCCUCAAUAAAAGUUUCCCAGAAUAAAGUGCUGAAAAUCCACAUUUUGAAUCUAAUCUAAAAGAGAAAAGUGUUAUGAGCCUAUCCUGUAAAUGAAAGUCUUUAAAAAAUAACAAGACAUGACACACUGAAAGCUUGCUCACAAGGGGAAGAGACUUACAAUUUAGAAAGGUUAGAGAAAAAAGGAAGUGUGGAAACCUUGAACAUAGUGUUGAAAGGAAAUGUCACAGGUGUGUAUCCAUUCGUUGAACUCCUCUCUUCCAUAACCAGCAGUGAAAUUGCCAUAAGACCUCUAAAUGACUGUAGACUUUAGUCAAUUUCCAGAGUCAGAGCUCCAUGAAGUUGAGUAAUCGUGUAGUCCAGUCCACCAUGAAAAGAAUUAAGACAGGCCCUCUAUUCAUCGCAGGAUAAAGAGUCCUCCUUUGCACUUCUCAAGUUAAUCUUUUAAUGUGUGUCUUUUGUUAAUAAAUGUUGUUUGUGCCCUUCAUUUAAAAAUACAAGAGUAAUUAUGCAUACAAGGCACUUUCUUUUCUGUUCAAUCACUACCUAGGAUGCAAUAUUCCAUCACAUAAUUACCUCUUGACAGGUAAUUUUAGUCAAACAAAGUCUUAAUAGAUUACAGAAACCUUCAUAGGAUUAUUAAAAAAACUGCCAACAUGGAAUGAUAAAUAUGUUUUAAUAACGGUCAUUAAUUAAGUCCUUUCAUGAGCUUUUAUGUGCAGUGAUUUAUUUCACUUCGCAGCCAAGUACAGAGAGAAAAUAACUACAUUUCACACACUGAGUGACUUAAAUAGGCCAUACAUUGAAAUUCUCCACCUGUCCAAAUCUCCAGUGUCUCUCACAGGAAAUUACAUCAUUACACCAUUUUUAACUAGGCAGCCCCAGGGCACUGAGCUACUUGAUCCAUCUUCAUCUGUCUCCUUCUCUCAGAUGACAUCCUCAUCAUAAACUCCGGCAGUCUGUGCAAAACAAACACGCACACUGUGAAAGCCGAGGAAACACAUUGUGAAGGAGCGGUGACAUUGACAAAGUGAGAGGGCGGCCACAGUGCGGUGUAACAGCACGCUGCCACUUACAAAAACACCUGCUCCACACUGUCAGCAACUUAACCUUCCAUCACCUAAAUCCCCACCGGAGGAUUACAUGUGACAGAUGUAGGACAGGAGGGGGUCAAAAGGGCGGGAGUGACAGGGUGAGGUGCAGGGAGGGGUGAUAGAAGUGACUUCAUAAGAAAGUUUUUCACCAAAGGGAUCAAAGAGGGAAAACGAAACAAAGAAGAUAGAGAGAGUGGGAGCCAUUCAAACCCCAUCCAUCCUCUGAGAUCAGCUGGUGAACUGAAAGCUUUGCUGGCAGAUUGAGCGCCCUCUUUGACCUGAUGGUUCAGUUAACCUUCGGGUUGAGUCUGCCACCAAGCAGGACAGGAACAGACAGCAACAGAAUGUCAGGUCUGCAGAAAAAAAAUAUCCAGGCCAACCUGCCCUCCAUCCAGGACUUAUACUGGUCCAGGGUCAGGAUAACAUCACCGCAGACCCCCUGCACUUUGCCUAUUGUUUGAACAAGCCAGUGGAUAAUGCUGCAAGCACGGGACUGCACUACAUCCUGCAACACCUUGACACUGCAGAGAUCUGUGCUCGCAUCUCUGCUUGACUUUCAAAGAUGUUAUGGUAAAUGCAAUAAACACCUUUUCAGAUAAGUACGUGAAAUGCCAAAUUUACAUAUACCCAUGUAAUGGAGACUCAACUCAGACUUGGACACUGGGGACCUGACCACUGCACCUGUUUAAGGUGGAGAAAAAAAAUGUUACUUUUCUUUGUUAUAACAAAUUUUGGGGGGCUGAUGAAAAACCUACUCAAUAUUGGGGUAGAGACAAGAGGGAAGAUUCCUACAUUGAAAAAUGCUGCUGAAUGUUAGGUAUUUGUCUCUUUUUUUCCCUUUAAAAAUUAAGUCAUUUUCUUUUCGAUACUCAAUUGCUUCUCUGCAGUAACAGCCUAUUGCCUAUUGUCAACUCUACAGCAAUAUUAAGGGAGGAGUUAGGGGAUUCAUCAGUGUCUAUUCUUUGGAGAAUAUAAAUAUUUUGGCAGUCCAUUUCAUGUUUAAGGAUAUUUCAGCCUUGAUCAAAGUGGGUGGUUGACCAAACUCAUCCAUGGGUGCCAAUUUGUGAACAAAAACAAACAAGAGUAAGAUUUCACCCUAACAGAAGGGAGUUAAUUCCUUGUCAGCGCUGUUGUGGCUUUUUACAGUGUAUAUAAAGGAUGAUAAAUGUGCUUUUUCACAGUUGAAAGGCAGCUAAUGGAGCAGGCAGACUUGUUAGACAAACGGCGCUUUAACAAGGACAUGAAAGACACAAAGGACAUAAGAGUGUUCCUGAAUUAAUUCAUCCUUCACCGGAUGACAGAUCUCGCAUGUAAACCGUGAGAGGUGUCACACUUUGUUUUUUAUUUGCAUGAGUUGUGUUCUUCGCAGUAUGGGAAUUUUCAACAGCCCAUCAAGUUUGUCUUUGUGCUGGAAAAGCAUUACCAGUAAUAUUUUAUGCAGCGAUAGAUACACAGAUGGCAGGAGGGAAGAGGAGCCACUAUUUUUGAUUACUUAUCAGAAUAUUAAUUUUACAGGGAUUUCAUCUUAGUUUGAUAUGAUUUAGGUCGUCAGUUUUAUUGGUACUUUAAUUCAAUUUUAAGUCAGGCUCUAUUUAAAAUGCUUUUCAUGCUUUUAGAUGAAAACUUUAUAUGAACUUUCUUCUUAUAAAAAAUCAUAAGCACAUUUAUAAGGCCUUAUAGCUGUAUCUGUAAGGCUUUAUGACAAUCUUUAUAAGCGAUAAUUAGCAUUCAUAAGAGCUUAUAGCAAUAUUUAUGGAGUAUUAUAAGCAGUUGGCAUAAUGCCUUAUAAAGAUAUGGUUUAUAAUGUGUCAUACAUUUCAUAAACAAACACAACACAAUAACAUAAUUCUCACAGUUUUACCCAGUUAUAAUGGUUGAGUAAAAACUAAUUCUGUAUUUCAUAUUAUUAUAUAUUUACAAUAAUAUAAUAUGUAAUUUAUAAUUACAUAUUAUAUGUUACAAAGCCUUGUAGAUGCAGUUAUAAGGCUUAUGAUGCAUCUCAUCAAAGGUGGGUUUAUACAGUGUGACUGAUGUAACUGUUAGUUGUUUUAUACGUUUUAACCAUUUACAUCAGCACUGUUGCAUAAUGUUUAACAAUAUCUUCCUUUGCACAUAAAUUGGUCCUUAAUUUGUUGACUGUAUAAUUUUUUGCUGGCUCAUUGGUGAACUUUUUUGAGCCCUACAUGGGAACUUUGAAGAUUUAUUAUAGUGUUACCCAUUAGAAAAUGACUUGAUUGUAUUUAUAGCUGCAGAGUAAGAGAGUUAAUAGUGAAAAACAUAUGAAUCUUUUAUUGGCAUCAGAAUUAUUGUUCAUUUUGAGAGGAGAAAUGAAUUACUCUUACCAUGAAAAGUAAAUAUUAUAAGCAAAAAGUUGCAUCCUUAGCUGCUCUCGGGAGCUUAGAUAGAUGCAGCUGUAAAAGCCACCACAGUCACUCACUAUAGCUUUGCUAAAUCUGGUGUACCUGAGUAUCUAUUGUACUACCAUUGACUUUAACUUUGGCAUUUUGUUACUUGUGGGAAAAGUGGCUGAUUGAUAGAAAAGUAAAGGCCUACUCUAAAGUUACAACACAGGAUUUCAGUUCUAGUUCAAUGAUGCCACCAGUGUUGGCAGGUGGCAAAAGGAAGUUUGCUUGUAUUUUGCAGCAAACAUGCUUUUCACAGCUACUCAGAGAGAAAUACAUAUUGUAUAGAGAAUAAAAGCCGCUCUGUGCCUACAGCUGAAGGCUUAUAAAGCUCCUGUGAGAAGUCUUGUCUUGUGUUGACACCGGCAUCUCCUUUGAACAUUCCUCCAUUCCUCUUAACUGAUCAAACCUUAAAAGUUUCAGCAAUGAAAAUCUUCCUGACUGUCAAACUUACUACCCACUGUUGGUAAAAACUUGAAGAGCACUUCAUAACACCUCAAAUGACACCUACCUAGUGGCUGGGGUGACAACAACAAAAAACACCUUAAUGUAUGGUUAGUCUUGUGGCUGAUAGUUUUACUUUCAUUUGUUGGUUACAAGAUAAUAGUCCUGAAGCUGCAUCAAGAGUAAAGAAGGUUCAUAGUUCAAAUUCUUUAAGUAUCUAAAAAUGUCAUGCAUGCAUUGCUUCCUGUUGCAAAUGACUGUAUGAAUUAGAUGACUGAACGAUCCUGCCACUUUCAAUGAAAAAUAAUAUGAAAAGAGAUCAUGAGAGACUCUAAAUAUAGUGUAUAUACUCAGGGGGAGGAAAACUGUCGGCCAAAAGAGAUACAUAUCAGAACCUUGGUUAAUAUUCAGUCAUUUUGCAUGUGACUCUGUUACCAAAUAAACAUGUAGCAACAAACUUUUCCAAACCUUAAGUUUAACUUCAUACGUAGAGCUCAUGUCUGAUAUCAUUCAAACAUUUUAUUGAAGAGUGGGAGAAAAACCUUCACUCUUCUAUAAAGGCAGUCAGAGAAGUAGAACGUCCCCUAUAUAUAGGCUGCCGUCUCAGGUGUGGCAGCACCUGGUACUGUGUGUUCCCAUUUUGCCUGACACUGUCUUCCUCAGCUCUUUUUGAGUACUUAUGGGCUUAACCACUCAGCUCUUUCAAAGCAAGUUAUGACUGUUUAAUCCCAUCAACAACAGGGAUUGCUGUCAAAGUAUCAUUGAAUUUUGACAAAUGACAGAGGGAGCCUACAAGUGGGAUUCAGCUCAGGGAGGGGAAAUGCUGAUUCAUGACUUCUAAAA